rnacentral:lncRNA from 1 species
UUUUUAACCCCCAAACCGGGUAGGUUUUCCCACGCAGCUGUUUUCUCUUCUCGCCGUGAUUGCGGGCUGCGGGAGGACAGGUGGAAACUUUGCCCCACUGCACCCUGAGGUGCCAGAAUUUCCCCCCGGUGCGGGCUUUAAUAACUUCUUUAAAAAAAGCCAAAAUAAACCUCGGUGCCACCUCCCCGCCGGACACCCACGGCGCCACCGCUUUGUCCCACCGGACACCCCGAGCUAUUUUCCAUCCACGUUUACUCUGCUGUGUAGUGCCAGCAGCCACCGAUUGCCUCCCUCAGGAUGGCAGAUCACCUGCCUGCCUGGCCGAGGUGACACAAGUCUCCUCCGAGGGGCCCAGACCCAAAAUACACACAAAAAAACAAAGGAUUUGCCAGCAACCCCACUGCCCAGAGCCUUUCAGCAGGUGGGAAGCAGGGCGACGUGCACGGUCCUGGGGACUUUUUGCCCCUUGCAGGGCGUGCUCCAAAGCAGCUGAACAAAUAAUAAUAAUAAUUAUUAUGAAGAUAAAAUACUAAUAAGCUUGAUUUUAUCCAGGGGUGCCCCUGCGGCACCCAGCAGAGGCUCUGCCCCUCGCUCCCUGCCCCAUGGAGAAGGGGCUGGGCUGCCUUUGGGGCGGCAGGGCAGGUGACCGGAGGUCCAGCCCGGCCCAAAAUUUCGUUCCUCCUACUGGAAGUGCCCCGGGGACCCCCGGACCGUGCUCCCGAGGGGGGAUUUUCAGCAGCACCCCCUCGGUGCCACAGCCCGGCCUCAGCGCAUCGCGGAGCCGGGCACGGAAAGUCUGGAAAAGCCGCCGCUUGCCCCCUGCUCUUCCUCCCGAAACAAAUCCUCCAAAAACUUUCUUCGUCCUUCAAAACGCUGCCGAAAUGCCUGGCUGCAAAAAAUCUCCUCCCUCAGCCACCGAUUUACUCCCGGCUCCACGCUCUCAGCUUCCCACUCCGGCUCUGGUGCGAUCUCUCAGGGACCAGGAGGGCAAUUUGGGGGUUUUGGGGCUCCCCCAGCACCUAGGGGCAGCUUCCCCCAGCAGCGCUGCUCCGUCGCGACGUCCGAGGGCCACGGUUCGGAUUUCAUAAUAAAAUGUUGUUGUUUUAUUUUUUUCUCUCUCUUUUUUUUUUUUUUUUUUUUUUAUUUAACGUAAUCCUCGAGAAUUUAAACACACAAAAAUGCAGUGAGAAUGUUUUCACAAUUUUUCGAGAGCACAGUUGUAAAUAGAAACAUUCAUAUUUCAUAAGAUUAUAAAUAUUUGAUACUGCAAUUGUAAAAUGCACAUGUUUUAUAAACUGGGAAGAAAAAAAAAAAAUCUUUGCUUUCUUGCUAAAAGGCAAUGUCAUUUAAUCCUGUCUCCUAAGCAGCUGAUGAUUAUUCACAGAAUUUAAAAUUACAGCUUUCGUUUUAUAGUGUGAUUUUUUUCCCUUUUUUAUUUUUUUUUCUUUAAGUUUACACUACUAUGUACAACGUGUGUCUAUCAUAGCUGCAAAAUAAAGAGGUUUUAAGGCAAAGCGAGAAGUCCCCC